rnacentral:rRNA from 1 species
CGUAGAUGUAAAUAUUCAAGAUAAUUGGACUAAAUAAAAAAUAUAAUCAUAUUAUAAAAAAUAACUCUAUAAUUAUUAAAUAAAAAUAAAAUAAUCAUAUGAUUAUCGGAUAUCGAUAAUUUU